CUUAACUCAUGCUCCAACCAGCAUUGCUCAGUCAGUGAAUGUGGAUGGUCCAUCUGGUGGGAUCGACAACUUGUUUCUCUUCUCAGUAAAGGAUGAGAAGGAGCUGCUGCUGCUGCUGCUGCUGCUGAUGGUCUUGAAACGAGGGUUGCAGAUGGGAAAAAGGUGGGCCGUACUAGAAUCGUAGCCAUUCGAUGCUUUAGCUGACUACUCCUCAUGAUAGAUGUGUGUAGAGUCGGGCUGACCCUUUUGAAUUCUUUAAAAAAAUGCUAUAUCUCUCUCAUUAUUAGUUAUCUUUAUGCUUUUCUGUGAUCUAGACCAUUGGUAUGAUGGGCCACACGCUGCAUUGCUUGAUUCAUGACAAAUGUGUUGGGAUUUUCGAUGCGAUGCAGAUGUUCAGAUCUAUACAGAUGGAGAGAUUUCAUGAUGUGGUCUCUCUUCAUAUAGGCUCUUGAUCACUUGGUUGUGUAGAAAGGGGAAGCUGGUUGAAGCAUACAUGGUGUUCGACGAAAUGCUCAAGAGAGGGAUAAGUGCUGAUAAUGCAACAUUAGCUGCUUUGGUUUAUGGAGGGGAUAAGAGAGCCUGAUGUGGGUGUUUACCUUGGGCUGAUCAAGGGUCUGUUUAAGCUUAGGAAGGCAAAAGAAGACACCCACGUGUUUAGAAUAGUACUUGUUUAGCCUAUGUUACUCUAUCGAUGCCGUGUCUCAUAGGUUUUGGCUCUUUCAUGAAUUUAGUAUUUUGCUGCUACACUAGUAUAUCUUGUCCUGAUUUUAUUAUUGUUCAAUUUCUAUAGGCUGAGACUCAACAACAUGGGACUGAAGAGCUACAAGGCAUUAAACAAAUACGGGUUUAAUAUUUUGGACCAGAGUUUGCAUCUAAUUGCUGACAAUUAUCAUGAGUUGGAAGUGUUCAAUUUGAUGAGGCAGCUGGAAAUGCUGAGAUUUUAAAGCUCUGUAAUAUGCUGGAAGAUGAAGCCCAUCAGAAAGAAAAACUUGAAGAAGAAAUUGCAGUACUGAAAAAUCAGUUGUUGCAAUUGAGCAUUGAAGCUGAUGAGGGCCCAGUAUCUGUUGCAGAGGAAAUUGCUGAAGUCAACCAGUUGCUUCAAAAUGAAAUCCAUUUAAGAAAGGCUGCUGAAGAGGAGGCCAACAAUCUUAAAAGCCAACUGGUGCAGUUGAAAAAAUCAGAGGUAUGGUUACUCAUCAAUGAAUGUGUAGCUUCUUUGUCAUCAUGCAUGGCUGGCUCUGGUAUUCAUGAGCCUGGUUUGUCUAAUAUCACAAGUGGAGGCCAUCCCUUUAGUGGAAGACCACUAACACCUUGGUUCAAUCCUAAAUAGAAGAUGAAAAAAAAUAAUUAAAGUUUAGGAUUCAUUCUCAACGAUUGAGCAUUUGUGCAUAUACAUAUGAUGUCUUGUGCUCACAUGUGCUAAGUCUAAGUCAUUGAGUGGUGCUGCCCACAAUAACAUGCUGAUGACAAAAAAAAAACAAAGAAACCCAUGUGCUUUUUUAUUUUAUUUUCUUUUUUCCUGCAAGGGUGUUCGAAGGUUUGAAAACCAAAUAAAUUUGGUGUAAUUCCUGUCCCUGGGUGUAAUUUUUCUACCGUUUGUGCACUAUAAGUGGUCCACCAGAUGGAUGAUCCAGAUGCACCAAUUGCUCUCUUUGACUACACUACAGGGUUUCAUCAUUGUCGUACUUUUAUGUAGAGUUAUUCUAUUUUUUGGACUCGAUGGAAUCAAUUGCCAUGGCUUAUUAUGUCAUUGGCUUUGAUCCAUAUGUUGGAAGGUGAAACCUCUAGAUCAUGUAACAACAUAUUUCAAGGCCAUGUUCAAUUGGCCGUCUUUCAUUGGCACCUGGAAAUAACUGCAAAAUGGACUCGUGUCUUACGUCAAUUAAUUUCAUGGCCUUUUGUUUGUAAUCUGUAGGAUUAUUUCUCAAGAAGACAGAAGAUGGUGAUAAAUCUCAAAUAUAUAGGUCUGUAGCCAAAAGAAUUAGUUUCUUUCUCCUGGGAUAUUUAACAAAAAUUAUGAUAAGUGAGCUGAUUUAAUUCCGUGAUGGUUUUGCGGAUUCAACAUAUAUGAUCUGGGCUAUUCCAAUCAAUGCAUCAAAUAACGUAUGUUGCACGCUCCUUGCUCAGAGUGCUGUUCAUGGUGCAAUGGCUGGAUACACAGGCUUCACUGUGGGACUUGUUAAUGGCAGACAUACUUAUAUACCUUUCCUUGUAAGUUCCAUUAACACAGUUGUUUCCAUUUCAGGUUUUGAUCAGUGAACAACAUGGAUUGAGAUAUCCAUAGUGUAUUAGCCAAUACAGCCAUGUUGGCUCAAUAUGAUAUGUAAUACAGGUUCGUAUAGGUCCCAGUGAAAAACUGGGCCGUAUCAGGCUGUAUUGGCUGUACAGGCAUAUUUGCAUUGUUAUAGGCCGAUACAGCCAUAAAGGCCCAACUUCGAUUUUU